rnacentral:rRNA from 1 species
GAUGAACGCUAGCGGCAGGCCUAACACAUGCAAGUCGAGGGGCAGCACAGGUAGCAAUACUGGGUGGCGACCGGCGGAUGGGUGCGUAACGCGUAUGCAACCUACCAUUGAUUGGGGCAUAGCCCGAAGAAAUUCGGAUUAAUACUCCAUAAUAUUCAUCAAAGGCAUCUUUUAUGAAUUAAAGCUUUUGCGAUCAAUGAUGGGCAUGCGUGACAUUAGUUAGUUGGUGAGGUAACGGCUCACCAAAACGAUGAUGUCUAGGGGUUCUGAGAGGAUUAUCCCCCAACUGGUACUGAGACACGGGACCAGACUCCUACGGGAGGCAGCAGUGAGGAAUAUUGGUCAAUGGACGCAAGUCUGAACCAGCCAUGCCGCGUGCAGGAUGACGGCCCUAUGGGUUGUAAACUGCUUUUCCACGGGAAGAACCCUCCGACGUGUCGGAGACUGACGGUACCGUGGGGAACUAAGGCAUCGGCUAACUCCGUGCC